ACUGCUCAGUAACACGUGGACAACCUGCCCUUAGGUUGGGUAUAAACCCGGGAAACUGGGUAUAAUACCCGAUAGGUCUCGAUUGCUGGAAUGCAUCGAGAUUUAAAGCUCCGGCGCCUAAGGAUGGGUCUGCGGCCUAUCAGGUAGUAGUGGGUGUAGCGUACCUACUAGCCUACGACGGGUACGGGUUGUGAGAGCAAGAGCCCGGAGAUGGAUUCUGAGACACGAAUCCAGGCCCUACGGGGUGCAGCAGGCGCGAAAACUUUACAAUGCUGGCAACAGCGAUAAGGGAACCUCGAGUGYCAGGUUACAAAUCUGGCUGUCGAGAUGCCUAAAAAGCAUUUCAUAGCAAGGGCCGGGCAAGACCGGUGCCAGCCGCCGCGGUAACACCGGCGGCUCGAGUGGUAACCGUUAUUAUUGGGUCUAAAGGGUCUGUAGCCGGCCGGAUAAGUCUCUUGAGAAAUCUGGCAGCUUAACUGUCAGGCUUUCAGGAGAUACUGUCUGGCUCGAGGCCGGGAGAGGUGAGAGGUACUUCAGGGGUAGGGGUGAAAUCUUGUAAUCCUUGAAGGACCACCAGUGGCGAAGGCGUCUCACCAGAACGGACCUGACGGCAAGGGACGAAAGCUAGGGGCACGAACCGGAUUAGAUACCCGGGUAGUCCUAGCCGUAAACGAUACUCGCUAGGUGUCGGCCACGGUGCGACCGUUGUCGGUGCCGUAGGGAAGCCGUGAAGCGAGCCACCUGGGAAGUACGGCCGCAAGGCUGAAACUUAAAGGAAUUGGCGGGGGAGCACCACAACGGGUGGGGCUUGCGGUUUAAUUGGAUUCAACGCCGGAAAUCUUACCGGGACCGACAGCAAUAUGAAGGCCAGGCUGAAGACUUUGCCGGAUUAGCUGAGAGGUGGUGCAUGGCCGUCGUCAGUUCGUACUGUGAAGCAUCCUGUUAAGUCAGGCAACGAGCGAGACCCCCACC
rnacentral:rRNA from 1 species